GGGGAGAUGUCCGAGCGGUUAAGGAGACAGACUGUAAAUCUGUUGAUGAAUCCAUCGUCGUAGGUUCGAAUCCUACUCUCCCCA
rnacentral:tRNA from 1 species